rnacentral:rRNA from 1 species
GGUACCAUCAAUCCCAGGCAUUAUUCGCACCCGGUUUAUUUUUCCCGAAUGACAGGAGUUUACGACCCGAAAGCCUUCAUCCUCCACGCAGCGUCGCUUUGUCACGCUUCCGCGCAUUGCAGAAGAUCCUCGA